UCUCGCUUCCUUUCCAAGUCAACAAUUGCUUUUACUCAUCAGUCUCUGCGACUGAGUUCCCUCAGCUUCCUUUUCUAUUUUAAGUCCUCUCUGUCUCUUCGAAGCUUCGCGAUUAUGGCUAAAAACUCUUGAGGAGUUCGUUAAGGGAAAUGUUUUUCCAAACGGCGUCGCUGUCAUCACUCUCGACCGCCCCAAAGCUCUCAAUGCCAUGAAUUUAGAUAUGGAUUUAAAGUACAAAAGUUUUCUCGAUGAAUGGGAAUCGGAUCCACGGGUCAAAUGCGUUUUGGUUGAAGGCAGCUCGUCUCGUGCAUUCUCCGCAGGAAUGGAUAUUAAAGGGGUUGUUGCUGAAAUUCAAAAGGACAAAAAUACGCCUCUUGUGCAGAAGGUAUUCACAGCAGAAUAUUCUCUAAUAUGCAAAAUUUCUUCGUACAAGAAACCAUAUGUAUCCUUGAUGGAUGGCAUAACAAUGGGUUUCGGAGUUGGCCUAUCUGGUCAUGGUUGCUACCGGAUUGUAACAGAGAGAACUGUUCUUGCUAUGCCGGAAAACGGAAUUGGCUUGUUCCCAGAUGUUGGUUUUUCAUAUAUAGCUGCACGUAGUCCAGGAGAAGGAUCAGUUGGUGCUUAUCUUGGAUUGACUGGCAAGAGGAUCUCUACACCCUCUGAUGCACUAUUUGNCACUAUUUCUAGGUCUUGGAACACACUAUGUGCCAUCUGGAAAUCUAGUCUCACUGAAGGAGGCCCUUUUGGCAACUAACUUUUCUGAGGAACCACAUGAUGACAUCAAAGUACUUUUGGCAAAGUACAGCAAUGAACCAGAGUCUGAGGCUGAGUUAAAGUUGCUUUUGCCUCGAAUUAUUUCAACAUUUGGGGCAAGUAAGUCGGUAAAGGAGAUGAUUGAAGAGCUGAAAAAGCAUCAGCAGAGUGCUGAUGGCAAAGUGAUGCAGUGGGCUAAUGAUGCGCUUCAAGGUCUGGGAAAGGGUGCUCCUUUUUCUCUUUGCUUGACACAUAAGUAUUUUUCCAAAGUUGCAUCCGCCUAUGGAAAACCCAACAAUGAACUAUCAACUCUAAAUGGUGUGAUGAAAACAGAGUAUCGCAUUGCCCUAAGGUCGUCUCUACGAAAUGAUUUCACUGAAGGGGUUAGGGCAGUCUUGGUGGACAAGGAUCAGAACCCAAGGUGGAAUCCCCCAAGCUUGGAAGAAGUUGAUCAAAAUGAAGUGGAUUCUCUCUUCAAACCACUGAGCCCAGAAGUUGAGUUGAGGGCGUGAGUUCAUCUGAAAUUAUCGUGUCUUGAUUCACUUAAAUGACAAGAGCAUUGGAUUCGGAGACUGUAGAGAUGCAGUUGCUGCUACAUUGUAAUUGAAUCUUUUAUACUUCAAAUAUCGUCUGAUGCAAUAAUGUGGUUAAUCUUGUGCUUACGGACUGGCUGUUUUGACAAGGGUUGUAUCACAUGUGCUUGUAGCUCUUCUAUUACUAGUCCAUGAUUGACGUGUUUGAUUUUGGUUUUAUAAGUUCCAUCAGUUGAGCGAAAGUACGUUACUUCUACAAUGAAUAGGGCC
rnacentral:misc_RNA from 1 species